CGUAGGUGGCAAGCGUUGUCCGGAAUUAUUGGGCGUAAAGCGCGCGCAGGCGGUUCCUUAAGUCUGAUGUGAAAGCCCCCGGCUCAACCGGGGAAGGUCAUUGGAAACUGGGGAACUUGAGUGCAGAAGAGAAGAGCGGAAUUCCACGCGUAGCGGUGAAAUGCGUAGAGAUGUGGAGGAAUACCAGUGGCGAAGGCGGCUCUUUGGUCUGUAACUGACGCUGAGGCGCGAAAGCGUGGGGAGCAAACAGGAUUAGAUACCCUGGUAGUCCACGCCGUAAACGAUGAGUGCUAAGUGUUAGAGGGUUUCCGCCCUUUAGUGCUGCAGCUAACGCAUUAAGCACUCCGCCUGGGGAUACGGCCGCAAGGCUG
rnacentral:rRNA from 1 species